UACAGAGGGGGCAAGCGUUGUUCGGAAUUACUGGGCGUAAAGGGCUCGUAGGUGGCCAACUAAGUCGGACGUGAAAUCCCUCGGCUUAACCGGGGAACUGCGUCCGAUACUGGUUGGCUUGAGUUUGGGAGAGGGAUGCGGAAUUCCAGGUGUAGCGGUGAAAUGCGUAGAUAUCUGGAGGAACACCGGUGGCGAAGGCGGCAUCCUGGACCAAUACUGACGCUGAGGCGCGAAAGCUAGGGGAGCAAACGGG
rnacentral:rRNA from 1 species